rnacentral:rRNA from 1 species
UACGUAGGGUGCGAGCGUUAAUCGGAAUUACUGGGCGUAAAGGGAGCGUAGGCGGACUUUUAAGUGAGAUGUGAAAUACCCGGGCUCAACUUGGGUGCUGCAUUUCAAACUGGAAGUCUAGAGUGCAGGAGAGGAGAAUGGAAUUCCUAGUGUAGCGGUGAAAUGCGUAGAGAUUAGGAAGAACACCAGUGGCGAAGGCGAUUCUCUGGACUGUAACUGACGCUGAGGCUCGAAAGCGUGGGGAGCAAACAGGAUUAGAUACCCU